GAUGAACGCUGUCUACAGGCUUAACACAUGCAAGUCGAGGGGAAACGACGGGGAAGCUUGCUUCCCCGGGCGUCGACCGGCGCACGGGUGAGUAACGCGUAUCCAACCUGCCUCUGACUGAGGGAUAACCCGUCGAAAGUCGGCCUAAUACCUCAUGGCAUCGUCUGCGGGCAUCCAACGACGAUUAAAGAUUUCAUCGGUCAGGCAUGGGGAUGCGUCUGAUUAGCUUGUUGGCGGGGUAACGGCCCACCAAGGCUACGAUCAGUAGGGGUUCUGAGGGGAACGGCCCCCACAUUGGAACUGGGACACGGGCCAAACUCCUACGGGAGGGAGCAGUGAGGAAUAUUGGUCAGUGGGCGGGAGCCUGAACCAGCCAAGUAGCGUGCAGGAUGACGGCGCUAUGGGUUGUAAACUGCUUUUAGGCGGGGAUAAAGUGAGGGACGUGUCCUUCAUUGCAGGUACCGCAUGAAUAAGGACCGGCUAAUUCCGUG
rnacentral:rRNA from 1 species